rnacentral:rRNA from 1 species
UACGUAGGGGGCAAGCGUUGUCCGGAUUUAUUGGGCGUAAAGAGCGUGUAGGCGGUUAGGUAGGUCCGUUGUGAAAACUCGAGGCUCAACCUCGAGACGCCGAUGGAAACCAUCUAACUAGAGUCCGGAAGAGGAGAGUGGAAUUCCCGGUGUAGCGGUGAAAUGCGCAGAUAUCGGGAAGAACACCCGUGGCGAAGGCGGCUCUCUGGGACGGUACUGACGCUGAGACGCGAAAGCGUGGGGAGCGAACAGG